rnacentral:rRNA from 1 species
AACGAACGCUGGCGGCAUGCCUAACACAUGCAAGUCGAACGAAGCCUUCGGGCUUAGUGGCGCACGGGUGCGUCACGCGUGGGAAUCUGCCCCUUGCUUCGGAAUUACAGUUAGAAAUGACUGCUAAUACCGGAUGAAGUCCUCGGACCACAGAUUGAUCGGCAAGGUAUGAGCCCGCGUAGGAUUAGCUAGUUGGUGGGGUAAAGGCCUACCAAGCCGACGAUCCUUAGCUGGUCUGAGAGAAUGGUCAGCCACACUGGGACUGGGACACGGCGCAGACUCUUACGGAAGGCAGCAGUGGGGAAUAUUGGACAAUGGAGUCAAGUCUGAUCCAGCAAUGCCGCGUGAGUGAUGAAGGCCUUAGGGUUGUAAAGCUCUUUUACCAGGGAUGAUAAUGACAGUACCUGGAGAAUAAGCUCCGGCUAACUCCGUG